AAUGUGAAAGCCCCCGGCUUCAACCGGGGAGGGUCAUUGGAAACUGGGGAACUUGAGUGCAGAAGAGGAGAGUGGAAUUCCACGUGUAGCGGUGAAAUGCGUAGAGAUGUGGAGGAACACCAGUGGCGAAGGCGACUCUCUGGUCUGUAACUGACGCUGAGGAGCGAAAGCGUGGGGAGCGAACAGGAUUAGAUACCCUGGUAGUCCACGCCGUAAACGAUGAGUGCUAAGUGUUAGGGGGUUUCCGCCCCUUAGUGCUGCAGCUAACGCAUUAAGCACUCCGCCUGGGGAGUACGGUCGCAAGACUGAAACUCAAAGGAAUUGACGGGGGCCCGCACAAGCGGUGGAGCAUGUGGUUUAAUUCGAAGCAACGCGAAGAACCUUACCAGGUCUUGACAUCCUCUGACAAUCCUAGAGAUAGGACGUCCCCUUCGGGGGCAGAGUGACAGGUGGUGCAUGGUUGUCGUCAGCUCGUGUCGUGAGAUGUUGGGUUAAGUCCCGCAACGAGCGCAACCCUUGAUCUUAGUUGCCAGCAUUCAGUUGGGCACUCUAAGGUGACUGCCGGUGACAAACCGGAGGAAGGUGGGGAUGACGUCAAAUCAUCAUGCCCCUUAUGACCUGGGCUACACACGUGCUACAAUGGACAGAACAAAG
rnacentral:rRNA from 1 species